rnacentral:rRNA from 1 species
GGGGCGACUGCCAUAUGAAAGGUCAAGCUGAUGACUUUACCUGAUUGGUAGAGAGGUGGUGCAUGGCCGUCGUCAGUUCGUACCGUAGGGCGUUCUGUUAAGUCAGAUAACGAACGAGACCCUUGCCUAUAAUUGCCAUGUUUUCCUCCGGGGAAACGGUACUUUAUGGGGACCGCUGGUGCAAAACCAGAGGAAGGGAAGGGCAACGGUAGGUCAGUAUGCCCCGAAUCCCCUGGGCGACACGCGCGCUACAAAGGCCGGGACAAAGAGUUCCGACCCCGAAAGGGGAAGGUAAUCUUGAAACCCGUCCGUAGUUCGGAUCGAGGGCUGCAACCCGCCCUCGUGAAGCUGGAUUCCGUAGUAAUCGCAGAUCAACAUCCUGCGGUGAAUAUGCCCCUGCUCCUUGCACACACCGCCCGUCAAACCAUCCGAGUGGAGUUUCGAUGAGGGUGGGAUUCUUGUCCUUCUCGAAUCGCGAUUUCGCAAGGAGGGUUAAGUCGUAACAAGGUAACCUCAGUCAGUCAA